GAGUCAGAGCCAGAGUCAGCUGGGAUAGGCUCCAGCACGCCCGUGACCCUCGUGAGGAUACGGAAAAUGAAUGAACUUGAGAGGAGAAAAAGACACGAGGAAAGAGCAAAACAAAAGGGUCUUCAACAUGAUGGAAAGAUCAAACGCUGUCAGAGAGGCAGAGCCAGAAAAUGUGUCACCGGUUAACGAGACCGAAUGCACCCGUUACCAUGGCAACGAGAUCAACAAUGGAUCGUGCCGAUGUAUUGUGUGGGGAAAAGAACGAAAUGAGGAAAAAAGUGUGGUGGUCGUCACCGGUGCUCGGGAGAGGAUUGCUUGAGGUAUGCUCAGGUUUAAUACAUUGACUGCUGCCACGGAGACCCUGGUUCCAUCCUCCUUUCACACAGCCGUGGCCCAAUGGUUAAGAUCAUCGCCUGCCACCGUGGGGGACCUAGGUUCAAAACCCCGACUGGACCAUCCGCCAACAUCCCCCGGACUCACGGCUGUGGUGUCCUUGAGCAAGACGCUGAUACCCCGAAAUGCUCCCCGGGCGCUUCAGCUGCCCCCUGUGUUCCACUAACGUGUAUGUGUUCACUGUGAUGGGUUCAAUGCAGAGAACAAAUUUCGUGUGCAUGCAUGCAUGUUCAUGACAAUAAAAGCUGAUUCUUCUUCUUCUUGCA